rnacentral:misc_RNA from 1 species
UCCGGUUUGGCACCGGCAGUCUUCCUAGAGUCCCCGCCAUUACGCGCUGGCAACAUGGAACGAGGGUUGCGCUCGUUGCGGGACUUAACCCAACAUCUCACGACACGAGCUGACGACAACCAUGCACCACCUGUGAACCGGCCCCGAAGGGAAGGUGUGUUUCCACACCGGUCACGAACAUGUCAAGCCCAGGUAAGGUUCUUCGCGUUGCGUCGAAUUAAACCACAUGCUCCGCUGCUUGUGCGGGCCCCCGUCAAUUCCUUUGAGUUUUAGCCUUGCGGCCGUACUCCCCAGGCGGGGCACUUAAUGCGUUAGCGCCGGCACCCAGGGGGUCGCUCCCCCAGGCACCUAGUGCCCAUCGUUUACGGCGUGGACUAC